GGCGUUGAUGUGGUAUUAUUGUAUGCCGAUGACGACCCCCUUCUCUGGCCCUAUUGCAUAUCGGAACAAGAGCAAAGCAAAAGCGAAAGAACAAAAAGCACAGGGUUUCUCUUCCUGUUCCUGGAUUCGAUCCAUAUCUUCUUCUAUUUGUCCACGGAGGAGGGAAAAGCGGUGGUUUCGAUCCGAAGAGGAAUGCCGGGUUCGGUUGGAGGCGAUUAGGGCUUUUGAUCGGAGAAUGUGGCGUCUCGGACGUGACGGCGACGGAGGCGGGGAAGCGGUGGAUGAGGACGCAGGCAAGCCGGUGGUGGUGGCGGUCCCCCCGGCGAUGCAGGCGGAGGCGUACCACCAGGCUAGAAGUAGAUCUCAGGGCGGCGGCGGCGGCGGCCGGAGAGUCGCCCCCGCUGCAUGUUCUCCGGAAGAGAACGCGACGGCGGUGGAGAAGGCGCUUCCGAACGGGGACAUGUACACUGGGGGUUUCGUCGGGAACGCGCCCCACGGCCGCGGAAAGUACUUGUGGGCCGACGGUUGCAUGUACGAGGGGGAGUGGCGGCGGGGGAAGGCGGCCGGGAAGGGUAAGUUCUCGUGGCCCUCCGGCGCGACGUUCGAGGGCGAGUUCCGCUCCGGCCGUAUGGAGGGCUUCGGGACCUUCACUGGAUCGGAGGGCGACACCUACCGAGGCUUCUGGAUCGCCGACCGCAAGCACGGGUACGGAUGCAAGUGGUACGCCAACAGCGACUACUACGAGGGCGGGUGGCGGCGCAACCUCCAGGAGGGCCGAGGCCGGUAUGUGUGGCGGAGCGGGAACCAGUACGUCGGCGAGUGGCGGAACGGCGUCAUCUCCGGCCGCGGGGCGCUGAUCUGGGCGAAUGGCAACCGCUACGACGGCCACUGGGAGAACGGCGUGCCAAAGGGGAGCGGCGUGUUCACGUGGCCCGACAGCAGUUGCUACGUCGGUAGCUGGAGUAAAGGCGAUCCAAAGAGCUUCAACGGAACCUUUUACCCUGCCGUCACCACAGGACGCAAGGAGAUCGGUGGAAAGAGGAGCUCAUUCUCGCUUUUGGAUGAAGCAUUCAUGCUUCCGCCGCUGGCACCAGCUUCGAGGAAGACAUCGUCGGUGGACGGUGUACUGGGGAGGAGGAGCUCCACCGCAGAAAAGAACUUCCCCAGGAUCUGUAUCUGGGAAUCUGAGGAUGAGGCCGGGGACAUCACAUGCGAUAUCAUCGAUACAAUCGAGGCAGCGAUGCUUUACAAGGAUGGCUUGUCCUUCGAUCAGGGUGAGCGAACACUAAUCAGUGCCGUGCAGCAGCGACGCAACCAAUAUUGUUUGUCAACAUGGGAGGCGAAGAAGCCAGGGCAGACCAUAUUGAAGGGUCAUAAGAACUAUGAUCUGAUGUUGAACCUUCAAUUGGGCAUCAGUUACUCUGUUGGGAAGCCAGGUUCACUCAGAGAGCUCGGAGCCAGGGAUUUUGAUCCCAGGGAGAAGUAUUGGACUAGGUUUCCUCCCGAGGGAUCAAAGAUUACACCACCUCACCAGUCCAUGGAGUUCCGGUGGAAGGAUUAUUGCCCUAUGGUUUUCAGACACUUGAGGAAGUUGUUUAACGUUGAUCCGGCAGAUUAUAUGGUAGCCAUAUGUGGAAAUGAUGCUUUGAGGGAACUAUCUUCCCCUGGGAAGAGCGGAAGUGUCUUCUACCUAACCCAAGAUGACCGCUUCAUGAUUAAGACUGUAAAGAAAUCUGAAGUGAAGGUACUUAUUAGGAUGUUACCCAGUUACUACCAACAUGUCUAUCGGUAUGAAAAUUCACUGGUCACGAAGUUCUAUGGUGUUCAUUGUGUGAAGCCCAUUGGUGGGCCAAAGGUACGUUUCAUUAUAAUGGGCAAUUUAUUUUGCUCAGAUUAUCAUAUUCAUAGAAGAUUUGACCUGAAAGGUUCAUCCUAUGGUCGAUCAACUGACAAGUCUGAGGAAGAGAUUGAUGAGAUGACAACCCUGAAGGAUCUUGACCUAAGCUACAUAUUUCGCCUGCAUAGGUCUUGGUACCUGGAGCUUCUUGAACAAAUCAAGCGGGAUUGUGAAUUCUUGGAAGCAGAGGGGAUUAUGGAUUAUAGUCUCCUGUUGGGGUGUCACUUCUGUGAUGAUGUUUCAGCAUCGUGGGCAGGUUCAUCACCAUGUUCUGCUUCUACAAAACCUUAUCGCAAGAGCUAUUCAUUUCAAGAUCGAGCUGCUUGGUCCAAAUUGCAGUUAUCGAAGUCAACCCAUCAAGAUAUGGAUCUAUCAAUGGGUGGCCGGAAACCUUUUAUUGGGCUAGGCUUAAACAUGCCGGCAAGAGCAGAGCACACAACAAGAAGCGAAUUGAUGCCGACACUCAAUGGCAAGAUCCAUGAUGUGAUUCUCUACUUUGGGAUAAUCGAUGUCCUCCAGGACUACGAUAUUACUAAGAAGCUGGAACAUGCUUACAAAUCCUUACAGGUGGAUCCCAAUUCCAUCUCAGCAGUGGAUCCAAAGCUCUACUCCAGGCGGUUCCAAGAAUUCAUCAGGAGAAUCUUUAUGGAAGAUGACUGACCAAACAGGGACAGGGGGAGAACCUGGACAGACUUCAGAAGCCAAAAUCACCAUGGACGAAACAUGACUCUCUGUUAUUGGCUCAACAUGUGCUGUUAAUAACUUUGCUCUAUGACACCUGAAUUUGGCAAAUGCCAACGGACUGAAAGGCGUGACUCAGGGAGAAGCAUUUGAAGGUUUGCUAUAUAGGAGGCAGAUGACCAAAAUUAUCUUUCAGCUUCGCGAAACCUAAAUUUGAGAUGCUCAUGUACCUUUCCGAUGAUCAGUGAGCUAAUCAGCCAUAGACACUCAGCAUUAGGAACCUGAAGUUGAGAGCUUCAACUGUCCAUCGGAUGAAGGCGGAUCUUGAUCAGAGAAUGAAUUGUUACAUGUGCAGAUUUCACUAGCUUAAGUUUGAGACCCUCAAUUGACCAGCGGAGGAUGCUACAAUUUGCUCCAGCAGACCAAAUCUGAGAGAAGCUCUCACUGCCCCAUCUCAACAGCUUCUGAGUUGAGAGGGGCAUUAUCGGACGUGGGAAAAAGGUGGGCUGGAGAAUGGAAUUGGCAUCAAAAGCGGAGAAAAGUGCGCCAGCCAAGAUGGUGGGUAUGGUAUCACAUCUCUCCUCUUUCCCUUCCUCUUCUCUCUCCCAUUCCCACCCACUCCCACUGUUGUUGCUCUCCCAUUCAACAUCUCCUUCAAAUUCCAUUUCUUUCCUUAUCCUUGGCGUCUUUUGCUUUUCUCCGUGUUUGACCAAUCUAACCCUUGUAGCUUCCCGUGUUACUCUUUCCUCUACUGGUGAACCAAAAGAGGAGAGAAGGCUGCUUACCACUAACUAUUGAGCAUCUCAAGGAACAGAAUACUAUUAAGCAUUCAGCUUUUUUUCCCCCUUUCUUCCAAUCAGGUAUUCAUCUUUGGAGUUUGGAGAGGGGGAAAGAUAAGUUUAAUCUCUCUUCUCUCUCAUUAUGCUAGUUGUAAUCGAGGUCGAAGGCUGUGUCAGGGCUUAUCACCUUUCCGUACCCUUUCCUAGUCGUUAUUUGAUUGAGUGUCUUGUUUCAACACGAAACCGAGCUCAGAUAGGGAAGUUGAUAUGUAUGUGUCCACUGAUCGCCUGUGAACUCGAAUCUGCAUGUCUCCUUCGGCUUACGCCAUUACAGUAAACCGCUACUUGCUUUCUUGCUGA